GACAGAGGGUGCAAACGUUGUUCGGAAUUACUGGGCGUAAAGCGCGUGUAGGCGGCUAUGUAAGUCGGGCGUGAAAUCCCACGGCUCAACCGUGGAAGUGCACCCGAAACUGCGUAGCUAGAGUCCUGGAGAGGAAGGUGGAAUGUUUGGUGUAGAGGUGAAAUUCGUAGAUAUCAAGCGGAACACCGGUGGCGAAGGCGGCCUUCUGGACAGUGACUGACGCUGAGACGCGAAAGCGUGGGGAGCAAACAGG
rnacentral:rRNA from 1 species